UGUUGGGACGAGAACAAAGGCGUAUUGACUCGGUCGCCAAAAAUGCGCCCGAGUCAUUUUCGCCGUAUGUUUGAGGUCUCGAAGAAACCAGGACAGUUUUAUGUUAGUGGAUUAACACUUUUGAUCGGCUCCUUCAUAACUGCGUCUGAUAAAACACUUCCAGCACUAGUUUGUGGUUUGUUGUUUGUUUGGGAGGAUAAACUGAUAUACAGAGAACGUUUAGAUUGAUCGGCCUCUUGGGACAUUGGCGUUAAAAAAAAAUUGACAAGUCUUCUAUACUGUUUAAUAUCAUGAAUUAUCCUCGUUUCCAAUUAGAUGUCUGGAAUAGUAGAAAUGUCCGAGUCGAGCACCAUUUGGCCAUGUGUUCUGCGAGCAGUCGAGGCGAAGUGAUUUGCGACCCACUUCACUGCUCGAUGAUUUAUAAGCAUUCUCUUCGAAAUUUAUUCCUCCCUGAUAUCAUAUACCCUCACAGUACUUUCUGCCCGCAUGAGGGUACUACUUGGUAAUUCUUCAGGAACUGAAACUUCUCAAACUUAGACAUAAAAAAAAUCAGUCUAUAUCUGAUUUCCUGAACACUGUUUUAUUUCCAUUUAUAAAUUUGAAUCUGUCUAUAAUGUUAAUACAAUUGGUAAAUAUUUUGUUUAACAAAAAUGUUGAUUAGAAGCAUAGAUAAAUAAGUUGAUUAGAAGGCAAUGCUGUAGUCCUUUCUAGUUGUUAAAUAUUUUAUUUGUAAAUAGUACUUUUAACCUUCAAGUAGGAAUUUAGCAAGUAAGCUUACAAUGUCAUGAAGGAAUUGAUAUCACUGUUGAUCUAUUAGAUCGGCUA